GAGAGCGCAUUGCUUGGAAACCUGCACGAUGCGUUCGGAGGAAGACAAUUCAUACCCCAGCUUGGAGAAACGUGUGGAAAGCGUGACCGCAGUUAGCAGAUGCGGGUAUAAUUCAAGAAGGGAUGGGUUGUCGAUCCUAC
rnacentral:ncRNA from 1 species